rnacentral:misc_RNA from 1 species
AGAGCAGUUUGUGCAUC